rnacentral:rRNA from 1 species
GACGAAGGGGGCUAGCGUUGUUCGGAAUUACUGGGCGUAAAGCGCGUGUAGGCGGUUGUUCAAGUCAGGUGUGAAAGCCUUGAGCUCAACUCAAGAAAUGCACUUGAUACUGGAUGACUAGAGGACCGGAGAGGAUAGUGGAAUUCUCAGUGUAGUGGUGAAAUACGUAGAGAUUGGGAAGAACACCAGUGGCGAAGGCGGCUAUCUGGACGGUUUCUGACGCUAAGACGCGAAAGCGUGGGGAGCAAACAGG